rnacentral:lncRNA from 1 species
GGAAACCCAAACCUUGUUCAUGCACAAAGCAUCCUUGCAGUCCUGGGCUUCCAAGUAGUCCUAAUGGGCCUUGUUGAAGGGUUCCGCAUUAAUGGGCUUCCUGGUGUUGGAGAAGGGAACAACCUCUAUCCUGGUGGGCAGUACUUUGACCCAUUGGGCCUUGCCGAUGACCCAGUUACUUUUGCUGAGCUCAAGGUCAAGGAGAUCAAGAAUGGAAGGCUUGCCAUGUUUUCCAUGUUUGGGUUCUUUGUUCAGGCCAUUGUAACUGGUAAAGGCCCAUUGGAGAACCUUUUGGACCACCUUGACAACCCUGUGGCUAACAAUGCUUGGGUUUAUGCCACCAAGUUUGUGCCUGGUUCUUAGAACAAGAUAACACCUUUUCUUUUUCCUUCUUUUCUUUUACCCUCGCACUUUGCUUUUAUUG